ensembl:lncRNA
GUACAAGACUCUACACUUGCGUUUGCCAAACCUCAUCUGGUUUAUUGUUGUCCAGCUCUGCAGUCUGUCUAUGACUUGCUGAAUGGUAGCAUGGCCUUCAGGUAUGUCAGCCACUCCUCCCAGCUUUGUAUCAUCGGUGUACUUACUGAGGGUAGACACUUUCCCCUCAUCAUGGUCACCAAUGAAGAUAUUAAACAAGACCAGACCCUGUUUAAAAAAUGGGAAACAUAUUUUGCUAAUAAUAUAGGGCUAGAUUUUGGUAGCAGAUUGAGGGGAAAUAGAAAAUUUCCACGCUUUAUGAACUUUGGCAUGUCCUCCUUUCUGGCACCACCAGGUAGGAGCCAGGGGUACAUUUACAGGAGGGGCACAUUUACUUUGUCCCAGACACUGUUGUCAAUAAAGUUGGUGCAGGAGGAUGGUUGCUCUAGUUUGCUGUUCAUGUGGACCAAAAGAUUCAUAGGAGGGAGAUUUAUGCCUGGAGUAAGCUCUGACUUGUUAGUUUUCUCUCUCAGCUAUGCCUAGAAGCGGAAGUUGGUCUCCUGAGUAUAGUAUAUUUGAAGAAAAUGAUUGCCCAGAGGUCUAAGUGAUGGACAGUUUUAUUGCAUCUAUCAUAAAUGUGUUUCCAGCUACAAAAUUUUCAAUUCAACUCAGGAGGUGAGGGGUAGAACAGUAAAUUUUAAAAUUUAAUUUGUGCAGACUAGAAACAUGUAAGGCCUACACAAUACUGCAUCUGAGCUACGAAAAUCUGCUCCUUUUGUGAUAGAAGCAUAUGGCUGCUCUCAAUCACAUUUGAACCUGAAGAUCUAGGACAGCCUUAAGAGGAAAAAGCAAAAGAGAAACAUGACACGAGGUCAAUUUUGACAGCUUAAAACUGUGGUAUCUGAAGAGCCAAUAGGAUUGCCUGAUUUCUCAGAACAUACAAUGGAUUAUAGGAUAAUACAGCCUGCAGGCACUCUCCUUGGAUUUAUGCCCAAGACAGACAACAGCAUAUGCUCAAGUACAAGGACAUCAGGGUAAUGGAAUAUAAAAAUUUGUGUGCUCAUCAUGUGAUGUGGGAAAGCAGCCAGAGGACUGUAUUCCCAAGGGGUAUUUCUAGGGGCUGCUGCCUGAUGUUCGGUGUUUGGUGCUUGGCCUCCGUAUGUAGUUAUCAUAUGGCAUGGAGUAUACAGCACUAGCGAGAAGAGAGGUGUCAGAUCACCUUCAAGCAUGAAGUGCUCCUGUCACAAGUAAACAAUGAGAGAUGUUAAAGACUAAUAAAUCUUCAUGAUGGAUCAGUACCAAAUGACUCAGGAAUGGUGAUUGUGUAAUUUUGAUUCAUUUGAGGAAAUGCUUGGUGCCUAAUGGCCCUCAAACAGCCGUCUGUGUAUUGAAAUUGUUAGUGUUGUAAUUGUGCAGGAUGCAACAGCAAAUUUUUGAAAGCAUGCUGUGGUACCUUUCUUUUAUGUUCUAUUUUAAUUUCUUGUUCUGGGUGUAGCUCUUUUCUCAGCAGAAGUGUGAGAAUGUCCAUAAGAGAGAAAUAUUAAAGGUGGUUAGUUCUCUUGAUUUUUUUUAUUUUUAUUUUUUGGGGGGUCCUUAAAGGAAAGGUAUUUUUGUCAUAAAAUGUAUCUGGUCUUUUUCUCUUAUGGUACGAAGGCCUUACAGUUAAUAUCUUAAUAUCUUUUAUAUAUUUUCCUUCCUUUCUCUACUUAUCUUUCCCCCUACAUAUUUCAUAUUGAGUGACUUAAAGCCCCUUCAAGUCAACAGAACUGUCUGCACCCAGUAGGUCCAUGGAUUUCUAUUGUCAGCCUGGAGGGUUUUCAAGAAAAGAAAAAAAAAAAAAAGCAGAAAAAAGAAAAACUUUUCUACAAAUAAUAUAUGUAUGUGGAACAUUUAAAAUAAUAUACAGUUUAUCUGAGAAAUGCUUAGGAGCUCACAUAUACAAAAAAAAAAUCAGGGCUGUGAUAGAUUUCUACUGUUUUAUAGUAAGCUUGGAUGAGAUUUGGAGGCUUAAAUCUGCAAUACUGAAGCAAUGCUGCUGUCAUCCUUUGAAAUAGAUAGAAAUGUAGCAUUAAUUCAACAAGGUAGAUAGACAUACACUUUUUUUACAGCAUAUCAGUUGUUCUAUGUUUUUUGGAUUUAAAGUCAUGCAUCCAAUUACAAACAUAUAUACAAAUUUCACUAUAUUGGUCUUUGUGAAUUAUAAAUCAAACUCAUUUAUAUUUUGCAACAGAAUGGUAAGAUGAAUAAACCUCAAAGUAAUUAAUAAUUCGCCACUACCUCCUUUUUUCUCAAAAUGGUAACUCAAUAAUUUAGACAGAUUUGUACUGCUUAUUGAAUAUCUGUUCUAACCUCACUGCACUAAGGAAUACACUUUGUCUCAAAUAGGCAGCAUUAUGUCUAAUCCCUACAUUUCACUCAGACCAGAUAGCCUUUGUGUGCCGCUGACACACAGAUGUAUGUUUUUAUGGCAAACAGUGAGAUUAUGCGCCAAAUCACUCAGGCCAAUUUAUACUAAGUUUUAUGUAUUUACUCUCCUCUACUAGAAUUUCCAAUCCACAGUUAUUUUGAAAUAAUUAUUUUCGCACAGACAGAGCUAUAAAGCACUGGAAUAAUCAACUUAUAUUGGUGAAGCAAAAUAAUUUCUUAAGAGCAAACUUUAAGGCAUUUGCUAAACCACAGGGAAGACUCAGCUGAAGUUCCCAGCAUAACCUUGUAUUCUUGAAGGUAGUAACAACUGCCUAAAAUCUUUCUGUGCUGAAAACUAAUUUUUAGUCAAUUGACAUAUGCAUUUUUAUACACUAAGUCUUUAAAAAUAUUAUUAAAGAUGUCCAAAUCUUUAUUAGGAGCUUUUGCUAUUGCAAUGAUAUUACAGAUGUGACUUUAAUUAGCUUUUCAUUGGCAAAAAUCCUUUUGCUAUGCUAAUAUUCUACUCACAAAAAAGGUUACUUCUGCCAGAAUAGCUUAUGAUUUGGAAAGUUGAUUACAAAUUAUACUGAUAAAAAUGUAUUUUUGUUGGUCGUUAACAGAGUUUGCUAGUGUAAUUUUACUAGUACAUACCUUUAAUGGUCUGAAAUAUUAUUCCCUUUCCAUUCUUUUCAUUUGCUAAAAUAACUCUCACUGUCAACAGAACUAUAGCAAAAUUCAAGGCUUCAAAAAAUCCUAGGAUCCUGUGUCAUUAGACUAUAUUUGAAGUUAUGACCUGUUAUCACUUGUUUUAAUUCAUGUGAACAACCAAGACUGUAUCAGUAUCUUUGAGAACAUGACAGAGCAUCAGUAGAGAUGCCCUUACAACUACGUGAAGGUUACCACAUUAUUUAACUUCUUUCAGUUCACAGGAAAUGGUAUAGUAUUGCAGAGGACCAGGCUUCACAACAAGAUCCAAGAAAGUGACUUCUCUGUUCAUGUUUCUUUUUCAUCUUUCCUUUACCCUAAAAUGUCAAAAUUUCAAAUAAGUAAGACAGUGGAAGGUGGGCAAAAUGAGGCAUAAAAUAGUGAUACUGCAAUAUCAGUUCUAACAGCAGAGAUUAAAAACAGGUAUACUGAUUCCCUUAACAGUACCCUAUUCACUGUACAGCACUUAGAUGAGUACAUCUUUAAGAAUUUGGAGUGAUAGCUGGCUGUGCUGCUUCACUGACAUUCUUUUGUAAUACGGUGCAAACAUGUAUGCAGUCAGCACCACUGUAAACUGACAUAAACUGCUGCUAUUUCUCACCUACUAGGUUACAACGUUAUUUCAUUACCACUGAAUUACUCCCGCCUUGUAUCUGUUUUAAUCUCUGAUUCAUUUAUUUCAGUAUUUGAAAAAUAAAUGAGUAAACAGGAAAAAAGAAUACAACUCUUGAAAAACUGUUGAUAUCAAGUCUUCAGUUUCUUUCAUUCUAAGAAAUAAAAGCACUUACUGUACAGCAAAAUCACUGUGGAGAUGACUUUUUGGGAAAAUUAUCUGGCCACUGGAGUUUUAUGGAUUGUACCAUGUUCCUAGUCAAUUCCUUGGAGGAGACAAAAGAUGAUCUUGUUCCAUGGUUACCUUAUUUUUCAUACUGACAUCAGGGUAUGUUAUUAGGUAACCUCAAAAUAGAAAAAACACAGGAAUAGCCUAUAAAACUGAUCUACAUCUGUAGGAAUGAAGAAUUUUGAUGAACACUGUGGAGUAGGAAGAAGCAGGAGAUCCCUCUGCUAAGACAGCAGAAGUAGCCAUUGAUUAUCUAUACUCACUCUCUCCUUCCACUUCUACGCAGAGAAUUUUGGUUAAUAUACUCAUAUUAUGAUAAAUUGUAUGGUCAAAUUAUUACCACUGUGAAGUCACCAUCCACAAAGAAAGAAAGCGAAGAAAGCUACCAAACAAUAACAAUCUACAAUAUGAAAGGAUUUAGCUGUUGCCCGUACUGUGUAUCCAAUACAGGUGUGAACAGUACAGGGGAUGUAAAUACUGGAAAAUGGAUGAUCAGUCUUCUUUCUUUCUAAAUGAGAUGUUCGGCUUCCUUCUUUAAAUCUGGGUAUGAUUUUCCUAAGAUUAACACUGAUGAAAUUUAGAAAUUCCAGUAAGAUUUAAAAAUAUUUACUGACGAAUGGUUCAUGAAGUUUUCAAACAAAGAACACUUGGAUGGUUUAAUAAAAAUGACUGUAGUUUAACUGAUAGACUACUGCAGAAAAAAAGACUACAUAAACAGAAGGCAGACGUUAAAGGCUUGAAAUAGUAAGUUAUAUUUUCAGUUUUUAAGUAACUGUAGUUCUAGGGGAGCAAAGGUUUGCCAGACAUCAAUUGCCACAGCAAUUGUUUGAUAAUGAAAAACUCCCAAUACCAGUAUUAUUGUGAAUAAAAACAGAAUUUGUUUUCUUUUAUCUACUUUGGAUGUUUAAGAGAUAUCAUUUUUCAUUUAAUGAUUACUGGGUUCUGUCAUAUUUCCUAUCAGAGGAAAAACAAGCCAUUCAUUCUAUUAGCUAGAGGAGGUAUCCAUCACCUCUACAAGAAACAGAAUUGAGUCGGGUUCCAAAGGUAAUCACUGAACCACUAAAACAUGAAACAGGCCCCCAUUUGAUUCAUAUAUUUUGAUGCUCAGUGAACCUUAUCAGGUUAGGAGGUGUUUACUGAGGUAAUCGAUGUAAAGUUACCCUGUGGACUUCUAUGUGUUAACAUAUAUAUUUCAUUACUUUGGUUUAUGCCUCUUCCUAAUCCCUGUCAUUUCUAAGGACAGAUCUCAUGCCUGUGAGAGAGCAUUCACACCUCUGACAUGAGUGUUCUUAGAAAUAAGGCUGGCAAACUGACCUUGCAUUCCAUACUAUCACUGAACUAAUUCUUUCUGAAGUUACAGAAUAUAUUAACUGGUAGGAGAUAACUGAAAGAAACAGGAAAAGGAAUUGAGAUCUCAGAACAGCUUGAAGAACAACUGGGUAGAUAUACCAGUCUGGAACUGGCUGGAAAAGAAUAGCAGGGAAGCAGAUUAGAGAAAAAAAAAAAAGGGAAAUUCUGCUGAUAGCAGAGAUUUCAAAAUUUUUCCAUUGGUCCUUCCUCCACAGAAAUCAUGGCAGAGUGGGAACAAAGCUGUACAACAGGCCUCCGCUAUUUCCACAGGUACUUCAGACCCUGAAAAAUACAGGAGGCUGAUAGCAACACUAGGCAGUAUCUUGGGUAGUUCGCUUCCACCUCUCCCCCGCCAACCCCCCUCCAAAAAAACCCAAAAAACCAAACUAUUGCGUUAUCCCUCACCCGUGAUAAAAUCACAGCUUGCAAAAACUACCCGUGACCUCUGCCGCUAGAGGGCUGCGCUUUCUGCCAUAUGCCCCGAGACCUCAAGAUCCCUGCUCCAGACAGGUUACUGGCUUUCACAGACGGUGCUUUCAGAAGCAUAUUCUGAAGCAUAUCUGUAAUAACGAACAAUUUUGCUAAUAUUAAAUUGUUGUUGCAAAUGUUAAUUAUAACUGAAAAUGUUAAUUAUAUGCAGCCAUUUGCUUAGUUGAGUAGAAAUGCUACUAGGAAACUAGCUGAGAGGCUAGUUCUAUAGCUUUAGCUAAAUUCUUCAAAACCGAUUCAACUAUAAAGAGAAUACUUCUAGGUACCAAAAAAGAUUUUUUAAAAGCUUGUCUUAGUGGGACCAGGAGAGAACAUAUCAAGAAAUUAUUAAACAAAAGACAUUCUGUAGAGACAAGGGGAGGCACUUGUGAGACAGCUGUUCGUGAAGAAACAGACUAACACAGGACAGACAUCUGCUGAGCCUGGAGAAAUUAGGUUUCAGGAUUACCAUUUUCCUCUAAGCUUAUGGAAGACACAUACACAAACAACAUACGCUGCUUAUCACAUUAAAACCCCUUUUUAUUCUACACAUUAAUAUUCCUGUUGUUAGGAUAAAACAAUGCUUUUAUUUAAAGAAUGCAAUCGAGUAGAUGUUUUAUAAGCUAAUUGGAAUUCCCAAAGGGAACACUUGCAGGUGCUGAAUCCAAUCAGAUCUGCCACAUAAUUAAAAUUGGUGCAGGGGGCACAGUAAAACAGAUGUGGUCUUAAAACAAGAGAAUUGUUUGAUUCAAUGUUACUACAAAUGAAUGGGGCACAUUCAGAUGGAUAAAGGGAGCAGUGUUAUAAAUUACAGUUCCACUGCGGAAAUUGACUAAAAAUGGCUUCACUUGAACAUCAACGCUUUUUAUUUUUGUCUUCUAAAUUUUCUGUAAGCCAUUUGCUCAGUUUACAAAUAAAAAGAGGCUGCUUAGAACUGAUGACCCUUCAAACUGGACCUGAGAUUUUUAAGCCACACUAUUUUCUUUCUGGCUCAAAUACUAAUUAAAAUUCUUCAGCUGGAACUUAGUAAAGGAAAUGGAAGAUCCAAAAGACUCCUCAGCUUGCUGUACCAUAAUUGUGUCAGCAACCGCCAAGGUAACAGAAGCCAAAAAUUUUAUUUCAGUCAGUAAAUGAAGCAACCAUGAGUCAGAGUAUCUUAGAUACAAAGGGUAUAAAAUGAUUACGAACGUUCCAUUCUUAUACAAUAUUUUUUCUGACUGUACAUGCUAUCAACUUGUUACUGAAUGUGCUCCAUCUGUUUUAUCCAACUGUGAGGCUAGAUACUGCAUUCCUGGGACACAAUUCCCAGAGAAGCCAUUGAAAGUUUUCAAUUUACAAUGCUGGAUCGGGUCUUUAAUUUGUGAAUGCUUUUGGGCAGGAGUCUGUUCAGAUGCUAAAAUAUCCAUGCUUUAAUACCCAACAGUAUAUUAGAUAUCUGGCUCACAAUUUACAAGUACUUGCAAGACAAUGUGCUGUACUAUGUAUUAUGUAUGAAAUCUGUAUUUUAAGCUCUAAAAAUUGUUUUGGGCAGCAUUAGUGGUAAGUGAUUACUAACACUAAGGCUGGGUCUCCCUGGGAGCUCAGAAUGGAAGUUGGAUUUCAUCCACAGACAGCCAGGUUUUCAGCCUGCAUUGGACAAGAAACCGAGUCAGCGGCCAUUCCGUACACACAUGCAGCAAUAUGAAUUUAGCACACAACAUGGUUUAGCACAGUAAAGGCAUGUUGCUAAAUUCUGUACAGAACUGAUGCUCUGCAAUGACCACGACAGUUAUGGUUAUAUUACUCUGCCAAUUUUUUGAAAGGUAAUGAGUGGAUUAAACAGCACAGAGAGGAGUAAAAAUGCCUUUCUAGCACACGGCAAUACCUCCCACCUUCAUAUUCUCGGCACCUCGCAACCCUUUUCAGCUUCAACCUGAAUACUUUGACAUUUGCAAACGGAAAUACCCCUGGCUGCAGUGAAACAUCUUUACAUUUCCAUUAAAUAUUUAUGUAAGAAAUGCCGCGCUGUGUCACGCAGCUCGGGCUUAGCCCAGCUGUCACCGCACACAAAUAAUCUCUUUAUUAUUUUUCCUAUGAGCCCGCGGGAUCAGCCCUCGCCCAGCUGCCGGCAGAAG